UAUGACGGUACCCUUUCGAAUAAGAGGUUGCUAACUCUGUGCCAGCAGCAGCGGUAAUACAGAGACCUCGAGCGUUAUCCGGAUUUACUGGGCGUAAAGCGUCUGUAGGGGGUUUGUUAAGUUCCAAGUAAAAUCUUAAGGCUCAACUUUAAGUUCGCUUGGAAAACUAAUAAACUGGAGUCCAGCAGAGGUGCCUGGAACUUGCGGUGUAGGAGUGAAAUCCGUUGAUAUCGCAAGGAACACCAAAGGCGAAGGCAUUGCACUGGGCUGGUACUGACCCUGAGAGACGAAAGCGUGGGGAUCAAAACGGAUUUAGAUACCCGUGUAGUCCACGCCGUAAACGAUGGAUACUAGAUGUUCGGGGAUUCGACCCCCUGGGUGUCACAGCUAACGCGUUAAGUAUCCCGCCUGGGAAGUACGGCCGCAAGGCUAAAACUCAAAGGAAUAGACGGGGAUCCGCACAAGCGGUGGAGCGUCUGGUUUAAUUUGAUAGUAAGCAAUGGACCUCACCAAGGUUUGACAUCCUAUGACAACCCUGGAAACAGGGCUUCCUUCGGGCAUAGUGACAGGUGCUGCAUGGUCGUCGUCAGUUCGUGCCGUGAGGUGUUCCGUUAAGUCGGGAAACGAACGAAACCCUCGUCGCAUGUUACAAAUUUCAUGCGAGACUGCCCGGGUCAACCGGGAGGAAGGCGGGGAUGACGUCAGAUCAGCAUGGCCCUUAUACCUUGGGCUACACAGGCGCUACAAUGGCCGGUACAAAGGGUUGCAAAACCGCGAGGUGAAGCUAAUCCCAUAAAGCCGGUCCAAGUUCGGAUUGGAGGCUGCAACUCGCCUCCAUGAAGUUGGAAUCGCUAGUAAUCGUGGAUCAGCCAUACCACGGUGAAUACGUUCCCGGAUCUUGUACUCACCGCCCGUCACACCAAGAGAGUUGGUAGCUCCUGAAG
rnacentral:rRNA from 1 species